rnacentral:rRNA from 1 species
GACGAACGCUGGCGGCGUGCUUAGCACAUGCAAGUCGAACGGAAAGGCCCUGCUUUUGUGGGGUGCUCGAGUGGCGAACGGGUGAGUAACACGUGAGUAACCUGCCCUUGACUUUGGGAUAACUUCAGGAAACUGGGGCUAAUACCGGAUAGGAGCUCCUGCUGCAUGGUGGGGGUUGGAAAGUUUCGGCGGUUGGGGAUGGACUCGCGGCUUAUCAGCUUGUUGGUGGGGUAGUGGCUUACCAAGGCUUUGACGGGUAGCCGGCCUGAGAGGGUGACCGGCCACAUUGGGACUGAGAUACGGCCCAGACUCCUACGGGAGGCAGCUGUGGGGAAUAUUGCACAAUGGGCGGAAGCCUGAUGCAGCAACGCCGCGUGCGGGAUGACGGCCUUCGGGUUGUAAACCGCUUUCGCCUGUGACGAAGCGUGAGUGACGGUAAUGGGUAAAGAAGCACCGGCUAACUACGUG